UUAUUAGAUAAAGAACCAAUAUUUUUGGUGACUCAUAAUAACUUUACGGAUCACAUUAUGUGACAUAUCAUUCAAGUUUCUGACCUAUCAGCUUUAGACGGUAGGGUAUUGGCCUACCGUGGCUAUGACGGGUAACGGGGAAUUAGGGUUCGAUUCCGGAGAGGGAGCCUGAGAAACGGCUACCACAUCUAAGGAAGGCAGCAGGCGCGCAAAUUACCCAAUCCUAAUACAGGGAGGUAGUGACAAGAAAUAACAAUACAGAACCUUACGGUUUUGUAAUUGGAAUGAGUUAAGUAUAAACCCCUUAACAAGUAUCAAUUGGAGGGCAAGUCUGGUGCCAGCAGCCGCGGUAAUUCCAGCUCCAAUAGCGUAUAUUAAAGUUGUUGCAGUUAAAAAGCUCGUAGUUAAUCUUCUGUUAAUUUUUAUAUAUAAUAUUUCGAUAUUUAUAUAAUAUUAACAUAAUUCAUAUUACUUUUUAGUAUAUGAAACUUUACUUUGAGAAAAUUAGAGUGCUUAAAGCAGGCUAUUGCCUUGAAUACUCCAGCAUGGAAUAAUAUUAAGGAUUUUUAUUCUUCUUAUUGGUUCUAGAAUAAAAAUGAUGAUUAAUAGGAACAGUUGGGGGCAUUUGUAUUUAACAGUCAGAGGUGAAAUUCUUAGAUUUGUUAAAGACAAACUACUGCGAAAGCAUUUGCCAAGGAUGUUUUCAUUAAUCAAGAACGAAAGUUAGGGGAUCGAAGACGAUCAGAUACCGUCGUAGUCUUAACCAUAAACUAUGCCAACUAGAGAUUGGAGGUUGUUC
rnacentral:rRNA from 1 species